rnacentral:rRNA from 1 species
AACGAACGCUGGCGGCAGGCCUAACACAUGCAAGUCGAGCGAGGACUUCGGUUCUAGCGGCGGACGGGUGAGUAACGCGUGGGAAUGUGCCCUUCUCUACGGAAUAGCCCUGGGAAACUGGGAGUAAUACCGUAUACGCCCUAUUGGGGAAAGAUUUAUCGGAGAAGGAUCAGCCCGCGUUGGAUUAGGUAGUUGGUGGGGUAAUGGCCUACCAAGCCGACGAUCCAUAGCUGGUUUGAGAGGAUGAUCAGCCACACUGGGACUGAGACACGGCCCAGACUCCUACGGGAGGCAGCAGUGGGGAAUCUUAGACAAUGGGGGCAACCCUGAUCUAGCCAUGCCGCGUGAGUGAUGAAGGCCUUAGGGUUGUAAAGCUCUUUCAGCUGGGAAUAUAAUGACGGUACCAGCAGAAGAAGCCCCGGCUAACUCCGUG